rnacentral:rRNA from 1 species
GUGCAGCAGGCGCGAAAACUUCACACUGUGCGAAAGCACGAUGAGGGAAUCCCAAGUGCUGCACGUAAGUGUAAGCUGUUUCUCUGUCUAAAACGCAGAGAGAGUAAGGGCUGGGUAAGACGGGUGCCAGCCGCCGCGGUAAUACCUGCAGCUCAAGUGGUGACCGUUAUUAUUGGGCCUAAAACGUCCGUAGCCGGUUUAAUAAAUGCCUGGGUAAAUUGUGUAGCUUAACUAUACGAAUUCCGGGUAGACUGUUAAACUUGAGACCGGGAGAAGUUAGAGGUACUCCUGGGGUAGAGGUGAAAUUCUGUAAUCCUAGGGGGACCACCAGUGGCGAAGGCGUCUAACUAGAACGGGUCUGACGGUGAGGGACGAAGCCCUGGGGCGCAAAC